CCUACGGGGGGCUGCAGUGGGGAAUAUUGCACAAUGGGGGAAACCCUGAUGCAGCGACGCCGCGUGAGUGAAGAAGUAUUUCGGUACGUAAAGCUCUAUUAGCAGGGAAGAAAAUGACGGUAUCUGACUAAGAAGCUCCGGCUAACUACGUGCCAGCAGCCGCGGUAAUACGGAGGGGGCAAGCGUUAUCCGGAUUUACUGGGUGUAAAGGGAGCGUAGACGGCAGCGCAAGUCUGGAGUGAAAUCCCAUGGCUUAACCAUGGAACUGCUUUGGAAACUGUGCAGCUAGAGUGCAGGAGAGGUAAGCGGAAUUCCUAGUGUAGCGGUGAAAUGCGUAGAUAUUAGGAGGAACUCCAGUGGCGAAGGCGGCUUACUGGACUGUAACUGACGUUGAGGCUCGAAAGCGUGGGGAGCAAACAGGAUUAGAUACCCUAGUAGUC
rnacentral:rRNA from 1 species